CAGUCGCCGCGGUAAUACGUAGGGUGCAAGCGUUAAUCGGAAUUACUGGGCGUAAAGCGUGCGCAGGCGGUUUGUUAAGACAGAUGUGAAAUCCCCGGGCUCAACCUGGGAACUGCAUUUGUGACUGGCAGGCUAGAGUAUGGCAGAGGGGGGUGGAAUUCCGCGUGUAGCAGUGAAAUGCGUAGAUAUGCGGAGGAACACCGAUGGCGAAGGCAGCCCCCUGGGCCAAUACUGACGCUCAUGCACGAAAGCGUGGGGAGCAAACAGGAUUAGAUACCCGAGUAGUCCCUGUCUCUUAUAC
rnacentral:rRNA from 1 species